AUGUAUGAUGCAAUGGUACAUUGUGAUGCUCCGGUAGAUAACAGGAAAUUGUGGAAGCUAAAAAUUCCUCUAAGAGUGAAGAUUUUCCUCUGGUUUCUAAACAAAGGAGUCAUUCUAACUAGAGAUAAUCUGGCACGACGAAACUGUCAUGGGCCCAAGUCAUGUGUCUUUUGUCAACAUGGCCUAGCAGGCCCUACAUGA
rnacentral:rRNA from 1 species